rnacentral:rRNA from 1 species
AGUGAACGCUGGCGGUAGGCCUAACACAUGCAAGUCGAACGGCAGCACAGUAAGAGCUUGCUCUUACGGGUGGCGAGUGGCGGACGGGUGAGGAAUACAUCGGAAUCUACUUUUUCGUGGGGGAUAACGUAGGGAAACUUACGCUAAUACCGCAUACGACCUACGGGUGAAAGCAGGGGAUCUUCGGACCUUGCGCGAUUGAAUGAGCCGAUGUCGGAUUAGCUAGUUGGCAGGGUAAAGGCCCACCAAGGCGACGAUCCGUAGCUGGUCUGAGAGGAUGAUCAGCCACACUGGAACUGAGACACGGUCCAGACUCCUACGGGAGGCAGCAGUAGGGAAUAUUGGACAAUGGGCGCAAGCCUGACCGAGCAAUACCGCGUGAGUGAAGAAGGUCUUCGGAUUGUAAAGCCCUUUUAUUGGGAAAGAAAAGCAGCAUAUUAAUACCCCGCUGUUCUGACGGUACCCAAAGAAUAAGCACCGGCUAACUUCGUG